rnacentral:rRNA from 1 species
AUUGAACGCUGGCGGCAUGCUUUACACAUGCAAGUCGAACGGCAGCGCGGGCUUCGGCCUGGCGGCGAGUGGCGAACGGGUGAGUAAUGCAUCGGAACGUGCCCAGUAGUGGGGGAUAGCCCGGCGAAAGCCGGAUUAAUACCGCAUACGACCUGAGGGUGAAAGCGGGGGACCGAAAGGCCUCGCGCUAUUGGAGCGGCCGAUGUCGGAUUAGCUAGUUGGUGGGGUAAAGGCUUACCAAGGCGACGAUCCGUAGCUGGUCUGAGAGGACGACCAGCCACACUGGGACUGAGACACGGUCCAGACUCCUACGGGAGGCAGCAGUGGGGAAUUUUGGACAAUGGGGGGAAACCUGAUCCAGCCAUGCCGCGUGCGGGAAGAAGGGCUUCGGGUUGUAAAACUCUUUUGGUUGGGAAGAAAAUCUGUGGGCUAAUACCCCGGGGGGAUGACGGUACCGGAAGAAUAAGCACCGGCUAACUACGUG